rnacentral:rRNA from 1 species
UACGGAGGGGCAAGCGUUGUUCGGAAUCAUUGGGCGUAAAGGGCGCGUAGGCGGCCGUCCAAGUCGGGUGUGAAAUCCCUCGGCUACCAACCGAGGAACUGGCGACUCGAUACUGGUUGGCUAGAGUCCGGGGAGGGGAUGGUGGAAUUCCCAGUGUAGCGGUGAAAUGCGUAGAUAUUGGGAAGAACACCGGUGGCGAAGGCGGCCAUCUGGACCCGGAACUGACGCUGAGGCGCGAAAGCCAGGGGAGGCGAAGUGGG